rnacentral:rRNA from 1 species
GUUUGAUCCUGGCUCAGGACGAACGCUGGCGGCGUGCCUAAUACAUGCAAGUAGAACGCACAGUCUAUACCGUAGCUUGCUACACCAUAGACUGUGAGUUGCGAACGGGUGAGUAACGCGUAGGUAACCUGCCUGGUAGCGGGGGAUAACUAUUGGAAACGAUAGCUAAUACCGCAUAAUAUUAAUUAUUGCAUGAUAAUUGAUUGAAAGGUGCAAUUGCACCACUACCAGAUGGACCUGCGUUGUAUUAGCUAGUAGGUGAGGUAACGGCUCACCUAGGCGACGAUACAUAGCCGACCUGAGAGGGUGAUCGGCCACACUGGGACUGAGACACGGCCCAGACUCCUACGGGAGGCAGCAGUAGGGAAUCUUCGGCAAUGGACGAAAGUCUGACCGAGCAACGCCGCGUGAGUGAAGAAGGUUUUCGGAUCGUAAAGCUCUGUUGUAAGAGAAGAACGGGUGUGAGAGUGGAAAGUUCACACUGUGACGGUAUCUUACCAGAAAGGGACGGCUAACUACGUGCCAGCAGCCGCGGUAAUACGUAGGUCCCAAGCGUUGUCCGGAUUUAUUGGGCGUAAAGCGAGCGCAGGCGGUUAGAUAAGUCUGAAGUUAAAGGCUGUGGCUUAACCAUAGUACGCUUUGGAAACUGUUUAACUUGAGUGCAGAAGGGGAGAGUGGAAUUCCAUGUGUAGCGGUGAAAUGCGUAGAUAUAUGGAGGAACACCGGUGGCGAAAGCGGCUCUCUGGUCUGUAACUGACGCUGAGGCUCGAAAGCGUGGGGAGCGAACAGGAUUAGAUACCCUGGUAGUCCACGCCGUAAACGAUGAGUGCUAGGUG